CAUAUACACAAUGGUUGAUUGUAAGCAACAAAAGGGUGGAUGGGAAUGCGGCUACAUGGUUCUCCAACAUAUGUUUGACUUUGUCAAUUUGUAUCAAAACCAAUUUCCCGAUGAAAUGUGCCACGACACGAGAGAGACUACGGAUAAUGAAAUAGAUGUUUUGUUGAUGACGCUGAUGCCAAAGUUUUU